rnacentral:rRNA from 1 species
GAUGAACGCUAGCUACAGGCUUAACACAUGCAAGUCGAGAGACCGGCGCCCGGGUGAGUAACACGUAUCCAACCUGCCCUUUACUCGGGGAUAGCCUGUCGACAGAAAGAUUAAUACCCGAUAUAAAGGAUGGGGAUGCGUUCGAUGAGGUGGUUGGUGAGGUAACGGCUCACCAAGCCUUCGAUGGAUAGGGGUUAUGAGAGGAAGGUCCCCCACAUUGGAACUGAGACACGGGCCAAACUCCUACGGGAGGCAGCAGUGAGGAAUAUUGGGCAAUGGGCGGUAGCCUGAACCAGCCAAGUAGCGUGAAGGAUGAAGGCGUAUGGGGCGUAAACUUCUUUUAUAUAAGAAUAUGUAUUAUAUGAAUAAGGAUCGGCUAACUCCGUGCCAGCAGCCGCGGUAAUAC